AUCUUCUGCAAUGGGCGCAAGCCUGACAGAGCGACGCCGCGUGGAGGAUGAAGGCCCUCGGGUUGUAAACUCCUGUCACACGUUAUGAAAUGUACGGGUCCACCCGUGCACUGACAAAGGCGUGGGAGGAAGUCACGGCUAACUUCGUGCCAGCAGCCGCGGUAAGACGAAGGUGGCUAGCGUUAUUCGGAUUCACUGGGCAUAAAGCGCGCGUAGGCGGCUCUUCAAGUCGGAGGUGAAAGCCCGCAGCUCAACUGCGGAACAGCCCUCGAUACUGUCGAGCUUGAGUGCAGGAGGGGUGAUCGGAACUCCAGGUGUAGCGGUGAAAUGCGUAGAUAUCUGGAGGAACACCGGAGGCGAAGGCGGAUCACUGGACUGCCACUGACGCUGAGGCGCGAAAGCUAGGGGAGCAAAC
rnacentral:rRNA from 1 species